UGCCAGACUCCUACGGGAGGCAGCAGUGGGGAAUAUUGCACAAUGGGGGAAACCCUGAUGCAGCGACGCCGCGUGAGUGAAGAAGUAUUUCGGUAUGUAAAGCUCUAUCAGCAGGGAAGAUAAUGACGGUACCUGAGUAAGAAGCCCCGGCUAACUACGUGCCAGCAGCCGCGGCAAUACGUAGGGGGCAAGCGUUAUCCGGAUUUACUGGGUGUAAAGGGAGCGUAGACGGCAUGGCAAGUCUGAAGUGAAAGCCCGGGGCUCAACCGCGGGACUGCUUUGGAAACUGUGUAACUGGAGUACAGGAGGGGCAGGCGGAAUUCCUGGUGUAGCGGUGAAAUGCGUAGAUAUCAGGAGGAACACCGGCAGUGAAGGCGGCCUGCUGGACUGAAACUGACGUUGAGGCUCGAAAGCGUGGGGAGCAAACAGGAUUAGAUACCCGGGUACG
rnacentral:rRNA from 1 species